rnacentral:rRNA from 1 species
GACGAACGCUGGCGGCGUGCCUAAUACAUGCAAGUAGAACGCUGAAGGAGGAGCUUGCUUCUCUGGAUGAGUUGCGAACGGGUGAGUAACGCGUAGGUAACCUGCCUGGUAGCGGGGGAUAACUAUUGGAAACGAUAGCUAAUACCGCAUAAUAGUAGAUGUUGCAUGACAUUUGCUUAAGAGGUGCAAUUGCAUCACUACCAGAUGGACCUGCGUUGUAUUAGCUAGUUGGUGGGGUAACGGCUCACCAAGGCGACGAUACAUAGCCGACCUGAGAGGGUGAUCGGCCACACUGGGACUGAGACACGGCCCAGACUCCUACGGGAGGCAGCAGUAGGGAAUCUUCGGCAAUGGACGGAAGUCUGACCGAGCAACGCCGCGUGAGUGAAGAAGGUUUUCGGAUCGUAAAGCUCUGUUGUAAGAGAAGAACGAGUGUGAGAGUGGAAAGUUCACACUGUGACGGUAUCUUACCAGAAGGGACGGCUAACUACGUG